GUGGGUGCUGGAGGUGCUUUCCUAGCCGUUCCAAGCUUUUCAGGCAGCAUCAUACAGGAGUGUGAGAUUAUGCCCUCUGCUGAGCAAUACGUAUGUGCCCUGAAUCUAUCUGAGCCAGGGUAGAGGACCUCAGAAGGAGGAAUCCCAGCAACCAUUCAACUGCAGAAGAUCUCUUGGAAACCCAUAUUUCCCUAAACCUGAGGAAAACAAUUUUUUAAUGUGAAUGUUGCCCUGAGGAGAGUUAAAGCAAACAAAACUGUACAACUGCACAUAAUUCGUAUGUUAAGAAGAUUAAUUUUCUGGAACAACAUGGUAACUGGCAAAUCAGAAUCACUAUGCUGAGCUACUAUUUUCAUCACAAGUAAAAGCAAAAACCGAGAGCAGUUGAUGCAGUUGGAGUGCUAUCAGUGGAGAAUGCAAAUCUACUUCUUAUAUUACUAAUUUACUUUGUAUUCAUGAUUUAGAAUUUUCUGAUGAAUCUUUCUGUCACAUCAUCCAUCACAGACUGUCACUAGAGAGACGGAAGAUAGAAAAAUUAAAAACCUGCUUGUUACUGUAAGCUAAACAGCAUGAACAACAUCCAUCAAAGACAGAAAAAUGGUAAAUAAAAAAGUGCU